ACACCAACCUGAACUGAAAGACUGACUGCAUAAAACUUUGCUUGUUUAAUUUUGAUUUCUGUUGUAGGGGUUUUUUAAAAAAUAAAUUUGGUUGUGUAUAUUUAAGGUAUGUAAAAUGAUGUUAUAGAAUACAUAUAGAUAGUAAAAUGGUUACAAAUUGCUAUAUUCAUCAUCUCACAUAGUUACCUUUGUGUGUGUGACAAGAGCAGCUAUAACCCACUUAUUAUAAAAAAAAAUUGAUCUUUGGGCCUACUCAACAUCUAUGACCAGGGAUUGGGCCAUUAAACAUGCCCAUCCAAUAGAGUAUAAGAUUUAUAAAGAAUAUGUUGGA
rnacentral:lncRNA from 1 species